CUCAAAGGAAUUGACGGGGCCCGCACAAGCAGCGGAGCGUGUGGUUUAAUUCGAUGCUACACGAAGAACCUUACCAGGGUUUGACAUGCAAGUGGUAGGAAACCGAAAGGCGACGACCCUUCGGGAGCUUGCACAGGUGCUGCAUGGCUGUCGUCAGCUCGUGUCGUGAGAUGUUCGGUUAAGUCCGCUAACGAGCGCAACCCUCGCUGUGUGUUACAAGUGUCACACGGUACUGCCGGUCUUAAGCCGGAGGAAGGUGGGGAUGACGUCAAGUCAGCAUGGCCUUUAUGUCCUGGGCUACACACGUGUUACAAUGGCCGGCACAGAGGGCAGCUACCUGGUGACAGGAUGCUAAUCUCGAAAACCGGUCUCAGUUCGGAUCGAAGUCUGCAACUCGACUUCGUGAAGCUGGAUUCGCUAGUAAUCGCGCAUCAGCCAUGGCGCGGUGAACUACGUUCCCGGGCCUU
rnacentral:rRNA from 1 species